rnacentral:ncRNA from 2 species
GAUCAGAACCAUGCCGACGGUUUCCCCUGCGGGGGGAUUAAAAGGGAACGGGGUGCGGAUCGCGAUCCAAGGCCCCGGCUGUCCCCGCAACUGUAAGCGGUAUGUCCCUGCAUUACCGGAUGUGAUGGUCCGGGCCACUGGAAACUGCGGUUUUCCGGGAAGGUUGUGCGGGAUGCCACGCCGUGAGCCAGGAGACCUGCCGCCAUGAUGGUUGCGAC